CCUAUUAUUUGAGCUGUGGGUGGAGGAGGGUCAUAGUUCUUACUGAGCUAGACGAGGCGUGCUAGUCUAGCACCUGUCCUUUCCUGUUCUCCAGCAUGGUGUGUCUGUGGUUCCCUGGAGGCUCCUGGACGGCAGCUCUGGCAGUGAUACUGAUGAUGCUGAGCCCUCCCCUGGCUUUGGGUAGGGACACCCGACCAGGUUUCCUGAUGCAGCCUAAGUCUGAGUGUCAUUUCUACAACGGGACGCAGCGGGUGCGGUUCCUGGAGAGAUACAUCUACAACCGCGAGGAGUUCGUGCGCUUCGACAGCGACGUGGGCGAGUACCGGGCGGUGACGGAGCUGGGCCGGCCGGACGCCGAGUACUGGAACCGCCAGCAGGACAUCCUGGAGCGGAGGCGGCGCGUGGACACGUACUGCAGACACAACUACGGGGUCAUCGAGAGCUUCACCGUGCGGCGCCGAGGUGAGCGGGCGGCGCGCCAGGGCCUGUGACCCGUGUAUCCUGCAGAAGACUCAGCCCUGCAAGGCCACAACCUCCUGUCUGCCUCACGUGACGGUUUCGUUAUCCAGCAAGCAUUGAAGGUCAAUGGCUCCGGACGAUUGGCCGAGAAGAGGAGGCCGCCGUGUCUCCCUCCACAGGCCUGAUCCGGAACGGAAGACUUGGACCUUCCAGACCCUGGUGCAUGCUCGAGACAGUUUCUCAGAGUGGAGAGGUUUACACCUGCCACCGUGGAGCACCCCAGCCGCCGCGAGCCCUGUUCAGUGGGAUGGGAGUGA